CCCUUAGAUGGUCUGGGCGGCACGCGCGCUACAAUGAUGCAUUCAAAAAGUCUCCUGACCUUAGAAGGUUGGGUAUUCUCCAAAGUGCAUCGUGAUGGGAAUAGUUUAUUGCAAUUUUUAAUCUUGAACGAGGAAUUCCUAGUAAGUACAGGUCAUCAACUUGUGUUGAUUACGUCCCUGCCCUUUGUACACACCGCCCGUCGCUCCUACUGAUUGAGUGUCUCGGUGAAUUCUUUGAUCUUCUGUCGAUUCAGUUCACUGAUCCGACGGUGGAAAGUUGAAUGAACUUCGUCACUUAGAGGAAGGAGAAGUCGUAACA
rnacentral:rRNA from 1 species